rnacentral:rRNA from 1 species
AUUGAACGCUGGCGGCAUGCCUUACACAUGCAAGUCGAGCGCGAAAGGGGGCAACCCCGAGUAGAGCGGCGGACGGGUGAGUAACGCAUCGGAACGUGCCCAGUAGUGGGGGACAACCUCGAGAAAUCGAGGCUAAUACCGCAUACGACCCACGGGUGAAAGCGGGGGACCGCAAGGCCUCGCGCUAUUGGAGCGGCCGAUGUCCGAUUAGCUAGUUGGCGGGGUAANAGCCCACCAAAGGCGACGAUCGGUAGCUGGUCUGAGAGGACGACCAGCCACACUGGGACUGAGACACGGCCCAGACUCCUACGGGAGGCAGCAGUGGGGAAUUUUGGACAAUGGGGGCAACCCUGAUCCAGCCAUGCCGCGUGCGGGAAGAAGGCCU